rnacentral:rRNA from 1 species
AACGAACGCUGGCGGCAUGCCUAACACAUGCAAGUCGAACGAGACCUUCGGGUCUAGUGGCGCACGGGUGCGUAACGCGUGGGAACCUGCCCUUAGGUUCGGAAUAACUCCCCGAAAGGGGUGCUAAUACCGGAUAAUGUCUUCGGACCAAAGAUUUAUCGCCUUUGGAUGGGCCCGCGUUGGAUUAGCUAGUUGGUAGGGUAAAAGCCUACCAAGGCGACGAUCCAUAGCUGGUCUGAGAGGAUGAUCAGCCACACUGGGACUGAGACACGGCCCAGACUCCUACGGAAGGCAGCAGUGGGGAAUAGUGGACAAUGGGCGAAGGUCUGAUGCAGCAAUGCCGCGUGAGUGAUGAAGGCCUUAGGGUUGUAAAGCUCUUUUACCCGGGAUGAUAAUGACAGUACCGAGAGAAUAAGCUCCGGCUAACUCCGUG